rnacentral:rRNA from 1 species
AUUGAACGCUGGCGGCAGGCCUAACACAUGCAAGUCGAACGAGUGGCGGACUUGUGACUUAUGUCUCUGACACUUCCUGAUGGAGAGGGAUCACUACUGGACGCGGUAACUCAUACCGCAUACACUCGGAUGUGCCCAGAUUGGAUUAGCUAGUAGGUGGGGUAAAGGCUCACCGAGGAGACUAUCUCUAGCUGGUCUGAGAGGAUGACCAGCCACACUGGAACUGAGACACGGUCCAGACUCCUACGGGAGGCAGCAGGGGGGAAUAUUGCACAAUGGGCGCAAGCCUGAUGCAGCCAUGCCGCGUGUAUGAAGAAGGCCUUCGGGUUGUAAAGUACUUUCAGCGGGGAGGCGUUACCCGCAGAAGAAGCACCGGCUAACUCCGUGCCAGCCGCCGCGGUAAUAC